rnacentral:rRNA from 1 species
UAAGCGGAGGAAAAGAAACCACCCGGGAUUGCCUUAGUAACGGCGAGUGAAGCGGCAAAAGCUCAAAUUUGAAAUCUGGUACCUUCGGUGCCCGAGUUGUAAUUUGGAGAGGGCAACUUUGGGGCCGUUCCUCGUCUAUGUUCCUUGGAACAGGACGUCAUAGAGGGUGAGAAUCCCGUGUGGCGAGGGAGUGCGGUUCUUUGUAAAGUGCCUUCGAAGAGUCGAGUUGUUUGGGAAUGCAGCUUUAAGUGGGUGGUAAAUUCCAUCUAAAGCUAAAUAUUGGCGAGAGACCGAUAGCGAACAAGUACAGUGAUGGAAAGAUGAAAAGAACUUUGAAAAGAGAGUGAAAAAGUACGUGAAAUUGUUGAAAGGGAAGGGCAUUUGAUCAGACAUGGUGUUUUGUGCCCUUUGCUCCUUGUGGGUAGGGGAAUCUCGCAUUUCACUGGGCCAGCAUCAGUUUUGGUGGCAGGAUAAAUCCAUAGGAAUGUAG